AGCGAACGCUGGCGGUCGGCCUAACACAUGCAAGUCGAACGGCAGCACAGUAAGAGCUUGCUCUUACGGGUGGCGAGUGGCGGACGGGUGAGGAAUACAUCGGAAUCUACUUUUUCGUGGGGGAUAACGUAGGGAAACUUACGCUAAUACCGCAUACGACCUACGGGUGAAAGCAGGGGAUCUUCGGACCUUGCGCGAUUGAAUGAGCCGAUGUCGGAUUAGCUAGUUGGCGGGGUAAAGGCCCACCAAGGCGACGAUCCGUAGCUGGUCUGAGAGGAUGAUCAGCCACACUGGAACUGAGACACGGUCCAGACUCCUACGGGAGGCAGCAGUGGGGAAUAUUGGACAAUGGGCGCAAGCCUGAUCCAGCCAUACCGCGUGGGUGAAGAAGGCCUUCGGGUUGUAAAGCCCUUUUGUUGGGAAAGAAAAGCAGCAGGUUAAUACCCCGCUGUUCUGACGGUACCCAAAGAAUAAGCACCGGCUAACUUCGUG
rnacentral:rRNA from 1 species